rnacentral:tRNA from 1 species
GCCGCCGUAGCUCAGCCUGGUAGAGCGCCCGGCUGUUAACCGGAUGGUCGACGGUUCAAAUCCGUCCGGCGGCGCCA